GUUAGGCAAUCUUAAUUGUCAAAGGGGGUUGUAUGAAGGUAUUGAUUUGAAUUUCUGUCCUUAGUGAUAGAAGCUUAUGUAAGUCUAUGUGGACCUCUAAUUUUGUCCAAUAUUUUUUUCCAUGUUUCUUCAUUUAAUCUUAAUUCUUUAUAUUCAUUGAAUAGAACUGGACCAAUCGGAGAGCUUUCUUCCACCCAGGAUUGCUGGCAUUGGGACAUGUAUUUUCUUUGCUACAGCUGUCAAAAGUCUAUGAAAUAUAACAGUGG